rnacentral:rRNA from 1 species
CCUAGGGAGGCUGCAGUGGGGGAUAUUGCACAAUGGGCGAAAGCCUGAUGCAGCAACGCCGCGUGAAGGAUGACGGAUUUCGGUCUGUAAACUUCUAUCAGCAGGGAAGAAAAUGACGGUACCUGACUAAGAAGCCCCGGCUAACUACGUGCCAGCAGCCGCGGUAAUACGUAGGGGGCAAGCGUUAUCCGGAAUUACUGGGUGUAAAGGGUACGUAGGCGGCUGAUCAAGUCAGAUGUGAAAGCCCGGAGCUCAACUCCGGGAUUGCAUUUGAAACUGGUCGGCUAGAGUGCAGGAGGGGAAAGUGGAAUUCCUAGUGUAGCGGUGAAAUGCGUAGAUAUUAGGAAGAACACCAGUGGCGAAGGCGGCUUUCUGGACUGUAACUGACGCUGAGGUACGAAAGCGUGGGGAGCGAACAGGAUUAGAUACCCCCGUAGUC